UUUUGUGAUGACAAAAGGCCCUAGGCCUGAAUAUAAACCCAGCUCUUCGAGUGCCUCUUCAUAACGCUGAGGGCAUAAUGAGACAACGUUUAUUCUGACUUU
rfam:Stachybotrys chartarum IBT 40288 unplaced genomic scaffold scaffold1022, whole genome shotgun sequence.